rnacentral:rRNA from 1 species
AACGAACGCUGGCGGCAUGCCUAACACGUGCAAGUCGAACGAGACCUUCGGGUCUAGUGGCGCACGGGUGCGUAACGCGUGGGAACCUGCCUUUAGGUUCGGAAUAACUCAGAGAAAUUUGAGCUAAUACCGGAUGAUGUCUUCGGACCAAAGAUUUAUCGCCUUUAGAUGGGCCCGCGUUGGAUUAGCUAGUUGGUGGGGUAAAGGCCUACCAAGGCGACGAUCCAUAGCUGGUCUGAGAGGAUGAUCAGCCACACUGGGACUGAUACACGGCCCAGAAUCCUACGGGAUGGAGCAGUGGGGAAUAUUGGACAAUGGGCGAAAGGCUGAAGCAGCAAUGAUGCGAGAGUUAUGAAGGCAUUAGGGUUGAAAAGAUUUUUUAACAGAGCUGAUAAUGACAGUAUCGGGAGAAUAAGCUCCGGCUAACUCCGUG